GAUGAACGCUGGCGGCGUGCCUAAUACAUGCAAGUCGAGCGAACGGACGAGAAGCUUGCUUCUCUGAUGUUAGCGGCGGACGGGUGAGUAACACGUGGAUAACCUACCUAUAAGACUGGGAUAACUUCGGGAAACCGUAGCUAAUACCGGAUAAUAUUUUGAACCGCAUGGUUCAAAAGUGAAAGACGGUCUUGCUGUCACUUAUAGAUGGAUCCGCGCUGCAUUAGCUAGUUGGUAAGGUAACGGCUUACCAAGGCAACGAUGCAUAGCCGACCUGAGAGGGUGAUCGGCCACACUGGAACUGAGACACGGUCCAGACUCCUACGGGAGGCAGCAGUAGGGAAUCUUCCGCAAUGGGCGAAAGCCUGACGGAGCAACGCCGCGUGAGUGAUGAAGGUCUUCGGAUCGUAAAACUCUGUUAUUAGGGAAGAACAUAUGUGUAAGUAACUGUGCACAUCUUGACGUUUCCUAAUCAGAAAGCCACGGCUAACUACGUG
rnacentral:rRNA from 1 species